rnacentral:rRNA from 1 species
GACGAACGCUGGCGGCAGGCCUAACACAUGCAAGUCGAACGCUCCGCAAGGGGAGUGGCGCACGGGUGAGUAACACGUGGGAACCUACCUUCUGGUACGGAACAACCAAGGGAAACUUUGGCUAAGACCGUAUACGACCUCCGGGUGAAAGAUUGAUCGCCGGAAGAGGGGCCCGCGUCCGAUUAGGUAGUUGGUGAGGUAACGGCUCACCAAGCCUUCGAUCGGUAGCUGGUCUGAGAGGAUGACCAGCCACACUGGGACUGAGACACGGCCCACGACUCCUACGGGAGGCAGCAGUGGGGAAUAUUGGACAAUGGGCGCAAGCCUGAUCCAGCCAUGCCGCGUGAGUGAUGAAGGCC